UUUGAGAAAACAAAGACUACUCUUAGAGGA
rnacentral:piRNA from 1 species